GCAAGUCGAACGGUAGCACAGAGGAGCUUGCUCCUUGGGUGACGAGUGGCGGACGGGUGAGUAAUGUCUGGGAAACUGCCCGAUGGAGGGGGAUAACUACUGGAAACGGUAGCUAAUACCGCAUAACGUCGCAAGACCAAAGAGGGGGACCUUCGGGCCUCUUGCCAUCGGAUGUGCCCAGAUGGGAUUAGCUAGUAGGUGGGGUAACGGCUCACCUAGGCGACGAUCCCUAGCUGGUCUGAGAGGAUGACCAGCCACACUGGAACUGAGACACGGUCCAGACUCCUACGGGAGGCAGCAGUGGGGAAUAUUGCACAAUGGGCGCAAGCCUGAUGCAGCCAUGCCGCGUGUAUGAAGAAGGCCUUCGGGUUGUAAAGUACUUUCAGCGAGGAGGAAGGCGUUGUGGUUAAUAACCGCAACGAUUGACGUUACUCGCAGAAGAAGCACCGGCUAACUCCGUGCCAGCCGCCGCGGUAAAAGGG
rnacentral:rRNA from 1 species